ACGGGGUGCAGCAGGCGCGAAAACUUUACAAUGCGGGCAACCGUGAUAAGGGAAUCUCGAGUGCCUGUAUAUGCAGGCUGUCUGGGUGUCUAAAACACACCUAAAGAAAGGGCCGGGCAAGACCGGUGCCAGCCGCCGCGGUAAUACCGGCAGCUCAAGUGGUAGCCGCGAUUAUUGGGCCUAAAGCGUUCGUAGCCGGAUAAGUAAGUCUUUGGUUAAAUCCUGCGACUUAACCGUGGGAAAUCUAGAGAUACUGCUUGUCUUGAGACCGGGAGAGGUUGGAGGUACUCCCAGGGUAGGGGUGAAAUCCUGUAAUCCUGGGGGGACCACCUGUGGCGAAGGCGUCCAACUGGAACGGGUCUGACGGUGUGGGACGAAACCUAGGGGAGCGAGCCGGAUUAGAUACCCGGGUAGUCCUAGGCGUAAAUGAUGCGAGUUAAGUGUGGGGGCAUCCACGAGAUGGCCCUGUGCUGUAGGGUAGCCGUUAAACUCGCCGCCUGGGGAGUACGGUCGCAAGGCUGAAACUUAAAGGAAUUGGCGGGGGAGCAC
rnacentral:rRNA from 1 species